GCGGGGGUGUCCGAGUCUGGUCAAAGGAAACAGGCUUAGGACCUGUUAGCUUAGUGCUUGCGAGGGUUCAAAUCCCUUCCCCCGCA
rnacentral:tRNA from 1 species